CCUACGGGUGGCAGCAGUGGGGAAUAUUGCGCAAUGGGCGAAAGCCUGACGCAGCGACGCCGCGUGAGGGAUGAAGGUCUUCGGAGCGUAAACCUCUGUCAGCAGGGAAGAACGGUCCAUGUGCUAAUCAGCAGUGAAUUGACGGUACCUGCAAAGGAAGCACCGGCUAACUCCGUGCCAGCAGCCGAGGUAAUACGGAGGGGUCGAGCGUUAAUCGGAAUUACUGGGCGUAAAGGGCACGUAGGCGGUAUGUCAAGUCAAGGGUGAAAUCCCCGCGCUCAACGUGGGAACUGCCUUUGAAACUGGCAAACUGGAGUGUGUGAGAGGAGAGUGGAAUUCCAGGUGUAGGAGUGAAAUCCGUAGAUAUCUGGAGGAACAUCAGUGGCGAAGGCGACUAGCUGGAACAUAACUGACGCUGAGGAGCGAAAGCGUGGGUAGCAAACAGGAUUAGAUACCCGUGUAGUC
rnacentral:rRNA from 1 species